UUUCUCUGCGGCCAUCAUGGGAUCGUGCUCUUCUCGCUCGUUGAGCUGGUCCCUUCGCCGUGGCCUGCUGGUGACGGUCUGGAGCGAUGCUGAGCCCGGGCCCAGCCUCUCAGCUCCGCCUUGUGCGCUGCACAGAUCUAGGGGAGCCUGACGGGACGUUGACAACGUGGAAUAGGAGCAGUAUCAUCCCACCAUGAGGUAAGGGUUUCUGGAGUAUCAGGUGGGGUUCAUAGACAAGAGGCUGUGUAGCUUUCGCUCCAGGGACUCCCAACAUACCCUGGCCCAUGUGGGCACAUACAUAAAUUUAAGACGUGUCUCCAUUUAGUGGCUGGAACUACUAGUUGGAGGACAGCAGAAAGCUUGACUGCUGUGAUGAGAUGACUAAGUAGGAAGUGCCGUCAGAGUCGAUAACUGACGAUAACUGCUCCUGGCUGACUGCAGUCAAGCCCACACCGGUGGCUGGGGUUUAGGUUUAACUUGGGCUGGACUUUUAACAACUGCUGUACUUCUAGGUUGGGGAUUUAAGAGUGGAAGAUUGCCAACAGCUGUGGCCUCCCAUGAGGGUGUCCCCUUUCAAGUUCUCAGAACGGACGCAGGACUGCAGAUCUGUGCUGGCAGCAGCAGAGGUGAGUUGGUCUGUACAGUGACUAUCUGUUAUUACUCUGAGAGAUAUCAAAUGAUGAUAUCACCUAAAAUAGCUGGAAUUACCGGCAGAUUGGUAGUGGUGAGCCUAUGGUUUUCUGAAGAUAUCAUUAAAUGUUCUAAAUGCCAUUGAUCCAGGCAGGAGUGAUUCUGAAAUUCAGCUCUUUUGCAGGCUAUAUUCCCAGAGGAGUCUCCAGCCGGCCUGAAAGCAAAUAUCCUAAGUGACAUGUCUGCCAAUUUUGUUCUGGGUGGGCACAUUUGGUAAUCCUGUCUGUACCACAGGAUCUUCUAUGCCUUUUAAAAAUAAACAUUUGUUUAUAAACCAGAU
rnacentral:lncRNA from 1 species